GGUUCGAUGGUGUAGUUGGUUAUCACGUCUGUCUCACACCAUAAUGUGCUCACAGGAGGUCUCCGGUUCGAGCCCGGGUCGAACCA